GGCACUAGCUUAGUGGUAGAGCAACUGCUUUGCAUGCCAAAGGCUCCUGGUUCAAUCCCUGGCAUCUCCA